GCCCUCGUAGCUCAAUUGGACAGAGCAAGUGGCUUCUAUCCACUAGGUUGGGAGUUCGAAUCUCUCCGAGGGUA
rnacentral:tRNA from 1 species